GGCUACAGUGGGGAAUAUUGCACAAUGGGCGAAAGCCUGAUGCAGCGACGCCGCGUGAGGGAUGACGGCCUUCGGGUUGUAAACCUCUUUCAGCAGGGAAGAAGCGAAAGUGACGGUACCUGCAGAAGAAGCGCCGGCUAACUACGUGCCAGCAGCCGCGGUAAUACGUAGGGCGCAAGCGUUGUCCGGAAUUAUUGGGCGUAAAGAGCUCGUAGGCGGCUUGUCACGUCGGAUGUGAAAGCCCGGGGCUUAACCCCGGGUCUGCAUUCGAUACGGGCAGGCUAGAGUUCGGUAGGGGAGAUCGGAAUUCCUGGUGUAGCGGUGAAAUGCGCAGAUAUCAGGAGGAACACCGGUGGCGAAGGCGGAUCUCUGGGCCGAUACUGACGCUGAGGAGCGAAAGCGUGGGGAGCGAACAGGAUUAGAUACCCUGGUAGUCCACGCCGUAAACGUUGGGAACUAGGUGUGGGCGACAUUCCACGUCGUCCGUGCCGCAGCUAACGCAUUAAGUUCCCCGCCUGG
rnacentral:rRNA from 1 species